AUGAAUAAAUUUAGGCCAAUUAGUUUACUUAAUUGUUGUUUCAAUUUUUUUACUGAAGUCUUGACAAAUAGGCUUCCUCUCAUUAUUGGGAUGCUUAUUUCUAAAUUCCAACAUGCUUUUGUGAGAGGAAGGUUUAUUUUACAAAGUGUGGUUAUAACACAUGAAAUAGUUCAUGUUGUCCACUCCUCUGGCAGGAACGGAUUGGUGUUUAAAAUUGACUAUGAGAAGGCUUAUGAUAAACUACAUUUAGAUUUUUUGUAUGAAAUGUUAGCUCUUAUGGGUUUUGGGGCCAGGUGGUUAGGGUGGAUUAGAAACUUAACUAGGAAUGGCUCUAUGGGGGUCAAGCUGAAUUGGGAAGAGAGUGAUUUUUCCUUACUUGAAAGGUCUGUGACAGGGGGAAUCCCUUGUACCCUCUCCUGUUUAAUUUGGUGGUAG
rnacentral:rRNA from 1 species